GGUUGUGAGGCCAAUCUUGCUGUAAUGUCUGUCUGCCAUUGAUCACCCUCUCUGAUCUUGCUGGACAGUAAAGUACCCACUAUCAUGCCAUGUGUAUCCUUCCCAAAGCUGUGUACUUGGUCAUAGAGGAUCGUCUUCCAUAGAGCUGGACUGGGCUUAGGUCAAGGGUAGAGUAGCUGAACUCCCCAGCUAGAGCCCAAACAGGCUCUUACAGGCCAUAUACAAGAACAGCAGCAGAUGCUUUUUAAAGAACUCCAAAGGUUAGUGCACAAAUAAAUAUUAGUUG
rnacentral:snRNA from 1 species